GACCCAUCUCUCUCCUCCGCCGCUUCCUUCACUGCCCCGUUCCUCCUUCGCUUUCGUUUCUCGCAUCUUCUUCCGCCCUGUUUCCGCCUCUGCUUUCCCUUGGCGGACCCUUGUCUCACUUCGUGCUCAGCCCCCUAGUACUGAUGGCUAUGGAUCCAAGCAGCCGCUCGGUUUGGACGAUUCCGGACCUUCCUUCGCCUCCAAUGGUUCGCCGUCGUCG
rnacentral:misc_RNA from 1 species